GGCCGGAAUAGCUCAGUUG
rnacentral:tRNA from 1 species